UGAAGUUACCUGUUGGCUGGGCACUGGAGCUGUCAGGUCAUGAAGGAUAACAACGUUAUGGGACUAAAGGAGAGCAAGGCACCAGGGAAGGAGACUCGCUUCACGCUGUCUACAUUAGGCACAGGGCAGCUCUGGGAAAACAGCACUUCUGCAUCAAGUGUGCGGGAAGACAUCAGCUCUGCAUGCUGAUCUGGAAGCACUUUGGAGAUGUUCACUAAUGGAGAUUAUUGCCCUGAGGGGAAAUGGGAAGUCAAGGAAGGUAACAACUUGCAUUUUCAGCUGAUUUUAAGGCACUGAAGAGAGGCCACCGUUGGCUCUGCUGGAGCCAGACCAAAGAAGACUGGAGAGCAUCCCAGUAAUGCCUUUAUGGGCAUGGACAUCUAGGGACCAUCCACAGACUUCCUGGGCCACCGCUGACUACUGCCUGUGCCACUUUAGAAUCCAAACUGGUGUUACAGCUUGCUGAAGGAAACGGCAUUGGAGCUUUUGAGCCGACUUCAAGUGCAUUCAACAGAGACUUGAGGACCUCACAACUCAGCAGCACCGAGGAACAAAGUGACGCGCAGCAGCCGAGCAGAGCAGGACGCUCCUCUCAUGGCUGCUCUGAACCAGCCAGCAGGGAGCCAGCAUGGGACAGGGACAGGAGCACACAGACAUCAGUUCUUACUUACUUAGCCAUGUUUCCUUCUCACUGACUUUGGAAAUAAAUGGCUCAAUGGCUUU
rnacentral:lncRNA from 1 species